rnacentral:rRNA from 1 species
AGGACGAACGCUUGCGGCGUGCCUAAGAAAUGCAAGUCGAGCGGAGGGUCUUCGGACCUUCAGCGGCGAACGGUCGCGUAACACGUAGGCAACCUGCCCCGAAGUGGGGGAUAACAGUCCGAAAGGAUUGCUAAUACCGCAUGUGGCCGGUGGAAGGCAUCUUCUACCGUCUAAAGCAUUUAUGCGCUUCGGGAUGGGCUUGCGGCCUAUCAGCUAGUUGGUGAGGUAAUGGCUCACCAAGGCGACGACGGGUAGCUGGUCUGAGAGGACGAUCAGCCGGAUUGGGACUGAGAUACGGCCCAGACUCCGUACGGGGGGCAGCAAUUAGGAAUCUUGCGCAAUGGGGAAACCCUGACGCAGCGACGCCGCGUGCGGGAUGAAGCAGUUCGUGUCGUAAACGCUUUGCGGGAAGAGAACGGACGGUACCGGCGAACUAACGCCCCGACUAACCUACGUGCCAGCAGCCGC